rnacentral:rRNA from 1 species
UACGUAGGGCGCAAGCGUUAUCCGGAAUUAUUGGGCGUAAAGAGCUCGUAGGCGGUUUGUCGCGUCUGCCGUGAAAGCCCGGGGCUCAACUCCGGAUCUGCGGUGGGUACGGGCAGACUAGAGUGAUGUAGGGGAGACUGGAAUUCCUGGUGUAGCGGUGAAAUGCGCAGAUAUCAGGAGGAACACCGGUGGCGAAGGCGCUGCUCUGGGCCGGUACUGACGCUGAGGAGCGAAAGCGUGGGUAGCAAACAGG